UACAGAGGUCCCAAGCGUUGUUCGGAUUCACUGGGCGUAAAGGGUGCGUAGGUGGUCGGGUAAGUCUGAUGUGAAAUCUCCGGGCCUAACCCGGAAACUGCAUCGGAUACUAUUCGGCUAGAGGGUUGGAGGGGGGACUGGAAUACUUGGUGUAGCAGUGAAAUGCGUAGAUAUCAGGAGGAACACCGGUGGCGAAGGCGGGUCUCUGGGCAGUAACUGACGCUGAGGAGCGAAAGCGUGGGGAGCGAACAGG
rnacentral:rRNA from 1 species